rnacentral:rRNA from 1 species
AGUGAAACGCCGUAGCGCCGAUGGUAGUGUGGGGACUCCCCAUGCGAGAGUAGGGAACUGCCAGACAU